CUGGGGUCGUCGGGGGCCAGGUGGGCUGCCCGAGUUUGGAGACAGUAACCUGGGACUCCGGGGGGAGUGGCCACCCCACUCCUCAUCCCGGAUCGGGGUGAGGGCAGGGCCCCGGGAAGGCCGAGAUCGCCAGUCGUCCUCGUGGAGGGAGGUGACUUCACUCAUGGCUGCAGGGAAGGUACCCCGCUCCACACGGCCACUGGGGGGGCCAGGUCGAGAAGGGUCGAAGUUGGCCAGCUCCUUCUCCAUGUAGUACAGGACCCGCAUGGAGUCGUCCUGCUGGCUGGCCUGAAUCCUGUAGCCACUGCGGACUUCGGCACAUCCAACUUCGGGACGAUGGAUUCUCACCAGAGGCCACACUGCUGUCCGUGUCCCGAAGCAGGGGUACAUAGGAGCCUUGGCCACCAGCUGGGGGUCCUUCCAGCCCCUGCCCCUCAGUGUCCAGAUGCCCAGCACACUCCCACCAGCUGUUCCUGCUUCCCCCGGCCUCACCUGAGCUACUCCUGUCAACGUCUCCAGGGUCUUGGCGGGAGACAGGUGGGCAUAGGUGCUGGGGGCAUAAAUGCUGGGAACACCUGAGGUGGCUGCUUUGCCGGCGGCAUACACUGCUAACUUACUGGAAGAAGUGGCCACCCAUGGUCUGUGUGUUUACAG
rnacentral:lncRNA from 1 species